rnacentral:rRNA from 1 species
UACGUAGGGCGCAAGCGUUGUCCGGAAUUAUUGGGCGUAAAGAGCUCGUAGGCGGUCUGUCGCGUCGGGAGUGAAAACUCAGGGCUUAACCCUGAGCCUGCUUCCGAUACGGGCAGACUAGAGGUAUGCAGGGGAGAACGGAAUUCCUGGUGUAGCGGUGGAAUGCGCAGAUAUCAGGAGGAACACCGGUGGCGAAGGCGGUUCUCUGGGCAUUACCUGACGCUGAGGAGCGAAAGUGUGGGGAGCGAACAGG